UACGUAGGGGGCUAGCGUUGUCCGGAAUCAUUGGGCGUAAAGAGCGUGUAGGCGGCCCGAUAAGUCCGCCGUGAAAGUCCAGGGCUCAACCCUGGAAUGCCGGUGGAUACUGUCGGGCUAGAGUCCGGAAGGGGCGAGUGGAAUUCCUGGUGUAGCGGUGAAAUGCGCAGAUAUCAGGAGGAACACCGAUGGCGAAGGCAGCUCGCUGGGACGGUACUGACGCUGAGACGCGAAAGCGUGGGGAGCAAACAGG
rnacentral:rRNA from 1 species